CAAUGUUUAUUUUUACACCUACUUCCAUCCCAUUUUCGAAAAUAGCAGCUGAAUUACUCGUUCUCCAAUAGUAGUCCCCAUCCCUCCGGUUAAUCUUGUUCUGAACGAUCCUUUCUCUUACGAUGACGUAUUGUACUGAAUCAUUUGAAGGAUAACCUGGUGUAUUCUGAAAGUGCUGCCAAAUAUUUGAGUGAAGGCCCUACAAAU
rnacentral:lncRNA from 1 species